UACGGGGGGGGCAAGCGUUGUUCGGAAUUACUGGGCGUAAAGGGCUCGUAGGCGGCCUACUAAGUCGGAUGUGAAAUCCCCAGGCUUAACCUGGGAACUGCAUCCGAUACUGGAUGGCUUGAAUCCGGGAGAGGGAUGCAGAAUUCCAGGUGUAGCGGUGAAAUGCGUAGAUAUCUGGAGGAAUACCGGUGGCGAAGGCGGCAUCCUGGACCGGCAUUGACGCUGAUGAGCGAAAGCUAGGGGAGCAAACGGG
rnacentral:rRNA from 1 species